AAUGGGAGAAACGUGUCAAGCCAGCCAAAACUGAAAUAUGAUGAACAUGUAUUUUAGUAAUGAUGACUGCAAAUGAUGUAGAGGUACAUCAAAAUUUAUAUUUGUCUGCAUAUAUCCACAAAAAACAGUAGAAGCUUACACACAGAAGCUUAGUUGACAGAAGAUUAUCCAACCGAUUUACACAGACACACAGUAAGACAUCAUUUCUUUACUGAACCUUUCCUGUCACUCUUUUUCUCACUUAGGCACAGGAGGAUGCUAAUGCUACCAACACUUUUUCCAAACUCACAGACUUAGUGAGCACAACAGUGAACGGAUUUGAUUUAAAUCCCUAUCGUGGACAAUGACUCACAGACCUAGAGCUAUCUAAACCAGAAGUUCCAUAUGAGACAAAAUCAGUGUUGGCCCCCAGUGCAACACGAAGAGGCCACCGUAGACCACAACCCUAAAGGGAGCAGGCCAGAAACCAUGCCCAGCUAGCUGCCCUGGAGCCAGUAAGCACCAUGUCCAGCAAUAAAAAGGUGCAACAUUUGUCUCUCGAGACUCCCUUAAGGCGGUGUCAGAGAGGGGCAUGUUCAGUGAGAGACUGAGAUUACCCAAACCCACUGAGCGGCGAAUCCAUCUAAUUCACAGUACACAGAGCAAUAGUUACAUCCGUUUUCUUUACAGUGAAAAUAAGAAAAUAAAAUGUCAAUCAUAUAUAUUUAUCUCUGUCAUUUUCUGGAUAUUUAUAAUUGAGCUAUUUGUAUACAUUUGAGCUAUUUCUCAUAACUUUGUAAUAUAUUGUAUUAUUUGAUUUAAUGCAGUCUAAUUUUCUUGAAGAAACUGUAACCACAUAAUGUCCUUAGGGAUUAAUCAUUUUUGAGGAAGCAGAUAUUUUCUCCAAUGUGUUUCUCCAAUCAGAACAGACAAUCAGAUUAAUUUAUUAAUCCCUAAGGAAAUACAAUAAGAACAGUAACAGGCUGAAUAUUUGACUCUAAACUGUACUCUUAAAGUAGUCUGUAAGUUCAUUUGUAAAGUUUGUCUUUUUUUCCAGUUCACAAGGACAGUUUUCUUAGCGAUGCAAAAGGCAGUAAGGACUACAUAUAUGUAUUUUAUUCCAUAUCCAAUUCACUUAUGUCACCUAUGAUACACACCUUGGGAUACAGCAACUAAACCGUGUGAAUAGGUCUUCACAUAUAAACCUCUGAACAUGUAUACAAGACCACAUAGCAAGCACAUAGUUCUUGCUAUGUGGAGUUGGCUGUGCAGUGGAUAUGCAAUCCUUUGUCCUUGGUAAUGUAAACAAAACUGCUAAUCUUAUCAAGGUGGAAGGAAUCAUUAGGAAUUUUUAUUUUAUUAGUCCUUUAUUUAUCUAGGUAAAAAAUCUCACUGAGAUUGAAAAUCUCAUUUUCAAGAGAGAGGGAUAUGUUAACAUUUUGAAAGAAACCUAAAGCAGUCAGUAGCAAAACUGGGUCCUGGUCAUUGGUUUUCUUCUAACACAACAACGACUGAAAACAUACGUCGCUCCUACUGAAGAACUACAUCCAGAAGACCAAAGUGAAUGUUUCUGUCUAGCCUGCACAAA